rnacentral:rRNA from 1 species
AAGACCUUGCGCUUUUGGAGCGGCCGAUGCCUGAUUAGCUAGUUGGUGGGGUAAUGGCCUACCAAAGCUUCGAUCAGUAGCUGGUCUGAGAGGACGGCCAGCCACACUGGGACUGAGACACGGCCCAGACUCCUACGGGAGGCAGUAGUGGGGAAUUUUGGACAAUGGGGGAAACCCUGAUCCAGCCAUGCCGCGUGAGUGAAGAAGGCCUUCGGGUUGUAAAGCUCUUUCAGCCGGGAAGAAAAGGUUGCGACUAAUAAUCGCAAUUCAUGACGGUACCGAAAGAAGAAGCACCGGCUAACUACGUGCCAGCAGCCGCGGUAAUACGUAGGGUGCGAGCGUUAAUCGGAAUUACUGGGCGUAAAGGGUGCGCAGGCGGUUUUGUAAGUCAGAUGUGAAAUCCCCGGGCUUAACCUGGGAACU